rnacentral:miRNA from 3 species
UAUGUCUGCUGACCAUCACC